rnacentral:lncRNA from 1 species
GGAGUAGAAGUAGGGGUGGCCCUCUUUACUAUAACCACUAGUGGUCUAUUCAUGAAAUGUUUGCUUCCUGUCCCUGCAACCAUAGGCUCUGCUGAGGUCUUAGCUCCAAAGGAAAAUAUUUCCAAGUGGAACAAAACAAUGACUCCAUUGAACUGGAAUUUGAAACUGCCACCGGGCCACUUUGGGAUUCUCAUGCAUCUGAAUCAACAGGCAAGGAGGGAGUUCACUGUAAUGGUUGAGGUUGCCCUUCAUCACUCAGCAGUGAAGAAUGAAAAUCAACAGAGCUUUCCCCAGCCUGCUGCUUAAGCAGCUGCUAGCAGGCUGAGGCUGCCCAGCCUCAUUAACCCAUUAGAUGCUGCGUUCGCCCGGGAGUCAUUCUUAAUGAGGCUGCUGCAGAUGAGAAAACAGAAGCAAAGGCAGAAAGAUGCUACAUUGCCAGCUUUGAAGAUGGAGGGAAGAGGUCACAAACCAAGGAAGGCAAUGAGGACGUUGCACAAGACAGUCCCUGAUACCCAGAGUUUACUGCCUAAGAGAGGAUACAUCCUUCAAACCAAUAAUCUGCUAAUAGCAAGAUCCAAUAGCUUCAUGGAUAUUGAAAGAAACUGAGAAUCAAAUUUGCAUACUUCUGAGUCACUUGGAAACAAAAAACAAGUACAGUCUUAGAUUCUGAGGGAACAAAAAUUAAAAAUCACAUUAGGAAGAGAAUUCCUAAUGUAGGAACUCAUCCUGGAAGAUUCUUCAGCAAAAGUACAGACAAUAAUAAUAAUACUCCAUGAAGUUACCAUCGAUAUUGAAUGAAUUAAUGAAUGUAAAAACCUCAAAACCCUGCCUGGCCCAGAGCUUUGGAAUGGGUUUGGAUCUACCACUCAACUGCUUUAUGACUUCAGACCAGUUAUUUAAAUUCCCUGAAGCUCAGUUUCCACAUCUUUGAGUUUUUAUUAAUGACCUGCCGACAUCAUACAGUUCAUGAAAUGCUCUGGAUGUGUACAUGCUGAUGAUACGACCUCAGACCCAGCAAGAGCUCAGUGCAGCCCGGAGAGCUGUGAGCAGUGCCACAGGAGGAGAUGACUGGUGAGUGAAAUAAGCAAGAUAGGAGUUGAAGUGUACAUGAAGCAGAGUCCAAGCCUUCUCCUUCUGGAUGUUCAGCUGGAUCAUCCUGACUGCUCCCACUUUCAUCUUGGCUUUCAAAGGCAAGAGGAAAUUAUAAGGAAUAUUCUGAGUGGCUUUCAUCCAGGAGUUCUGUGGGACCCGCAACACCUGGAUGGUAGAUGCAAACAGAUAAAGAAUAUUGGUCACCAAAAGGAGUUCUUUUCAUCAUAGAUCUCUGAAGGUAGACACCUAUUUGCAGACUUCUCAAAGGGCUAUAUGGAUGUGCUCUACUUGUUGGAGGAUUGUCCAUCCACUCUUCUUCCUGUACUUACCAGGACAGAACAGCCGCAACUUCUCAGACAGUUCAUUCUUCUUUUCCUCACCUACUACCAUCUAAGAAAGGUACUUGAUGACUGUGGCUUUAGACAAGAGUCCUUUUCUUACCACAGGGUGGGCAGCACCAGCUCAUUAGAACCAUUUGUGUGACUGACUGAAGACAGCUCACCUUGGAACACUGCAGGACCCUAAGAGGAUGGAGGUGGAGUUUUUCUGCUCCUACACCUGGAUAGGCAAGACCAACCACUUACCAGAUGG